GUGACCGAGCGGCAGGUUAUACAUCGCAAGUCGAGGGGUAGCAGGUUGUAGCAAUACAGAUGCUGACGACCGGCAACGGGUGCGGAACACGUACAGAACCUUCUUCGAGUGGGAGAUAGCCCAGGGAAACUUGGAGUAAUAUCCCAUAGGAUCAUAGAGUGGCAUCACUUAGUAGAUUAAAGAUUUAUCGCUUGAAGAUGGCUGUGCGGCUGAUUAGGUAGUUGGUGUAGGUAACGGCUCACCAAGCCUUCGAUCAGUAACUGGUGUGAGAGCACGACCAGUCACACGGGCACUGAGACACGGGCCCGACUCCUACGGGAGGCAGCAGUAAGGAAUAUUGGGCAAUGGAGGCAACUCUGACCCAGCCAUGGCCGCGUGGAGGAUGAAGGUCCUCUGGAUUGUAAACUUCUUUUAUUUUGGGAAGAAAUGCCAUUUUUCUAAAUGGUUUGACGGUACCAGAUUGAAUAAGCACCGGCUAACUCCGUGCCAGCAGCCGCGGUAAUACGGAGGGUGCAAGCGUUUAUCCCGGGAUUCACUGGGGUUUUAAAAGGGUGGCGUAAGGCGGGGCAUAUUAAAUUCAGUGGGUUGAAAAUCCCCCGAAGCUUUAACUUUGGGGAACUGGCCCGUUGCAUACUUAUGUGUCUUUGGAAA
rnacentral:rRNA from 1 species